rfam:Emiliania huxleyi CCMP1516 EMIHTscaffold_569_Cont8314, whole genome shotgun sequence.
GUCACCGUGGUCUAGUGGCAUGAUGCUCGCCUGCCACGCGGGCGACCCGGAUUCGAUUUCCGGCGGUGACA